CAGCAGCCGCGGUAAUACGGAGGGAGCUAGCGUUGUUCGGAAUUACUGGGCGUAAAGCGCACGUAGGCGGCUUUGUAAGUUAGAGGUGAAAGCCUGGAGCUCAACUCCAGAAUUGCCUUUAAGACUGCAUCGCUUGAAUCCAGGAGAGGUGAGUGGAAUUCCGAGUGUAGAGGUGAAAUUCGUAGAUAUUCGGAAGAACACCAGUGGCGAAGGCGGCUCACUGGACUGGUAUUGACGCUGAGGUGCGAAAGCGUGGGGGGCAAACAGGAUUAGAGACCCCGGUAGUCCCUGUCUCUUAUAC
rnacentral:rRNA from 1 species